rnacentral:lncRNA from 1 species
CUUUUCAGUUCUGUCUUCCUGAGGCUGCUGUUUCUGGGCAUGGCCAGGGGAUCUUCAGACUUUACAAACCAGUUGUGCAGAGCCAGGCAUUUCAAUAAGGAACAAAAUGCUGAGUAACAACAUGAAGUCAGAGUGUUGCUUGCCAAGAGCUGGGAGGCCUGGGUGGUUUCCCAAUCUUAAAGAAGCAGAAGGAUAUUAAAGUGAGCCUCCCAAAGGAAAACGUGGAUCUACUUACCAACGCAGAAAAUGAUACACACGGAUUCGAUUUAGGCACGCUACAUUCAAAUGACUUGGAAGAGCAGGUUCUCUGAGCCAGGAUACUAAAGUCCCUGUUUAGGAAAGAGCCACGUUGUAUGUUUACCCUACCACAAAGAUACAGUCAUGUGCCUGGGAAAGAUUGAUGCCAGCUCCAGAAAGGCAUCCGAAUGGUCUAAGUAAUGCCAUCCAUCUGUCAGUAAUAGAUUCAGAAAUGGAAUUCUGGAGGAAAGUGGCUCUGGGAAUUGAACAGUGGCUCAGUGAUGUUGGGGCCACCAAGUCUGCAAUUCUCCCUACCUGUUCUUCAUGGUUGUAAGAUGACUGCUGCAAUUCUCGGCAUCAUGUGCAUGUUAAUGUCAGGAGGAAGAAAGGAAGAGGGAGCACUGGGAUGUUACAUUCAUUUUGUCAGGAAAAGCAAAGCCUUUCCAGACAGCUCCGAAACUUGCUUACCUCUCAUUGGCCAGCACCAUCACUUGACCACUUGUCCACUCCUAGCUGCAAGGAAAGUGGCAAAGUAGAAGGUAUUUGAGAAUGUCUGCUGGGUUAGCCAAAACAAUAGUGACUUCUACACCCAAUUUUCUGGGCACUGCAGAAGUAUCCUUGAGUCCUAUGUGAUCAGAGGGAGAGCAAACCUCAAUAAUGAAACAGAUUCAAUUUCCAUCACCCAGUGAGACACCAUGGGAUUAGAAUAAAUUUUUAAAAAAACAAAUUGAAAAAAAUGCAUUUUUAAAACAACAAAAUCAGAAAGGAUGAAAGGUGAUAUUUCUAGCAUAUCAGUUUGUGGUGGUAAAUUAAUUACCUUAUACAAAGGCCUCAGUGACUUUCUUCUCCUUACCUAACGAAUCAUCUUUAAAAUAAGUAAAAUAAAGAAACAAGAGCAGCAGCAGAUGCUUCCUAAAAAGAAGUUACCAAAUCUGUUCACCACAAACCUGAGAAUUCAACUGUGGACAUUUGGACACCAGCAAUGAACAUGAAACUCAGCUUAUGAGGCAUAUUUGGCUAAAGGUCAAGGUGACUUAAAGUUCAUCAUAGGACAUCUACAAUUUGCAAAGCAGGUGACUGGAUAUGGACUCCUUCCAAGUCUCAUUUAAUUGGAUAAUGCCUACGUUUUAAGUAUCAGAAGUGAGUCUUUCUCUAUUAAAUGAAGUCAGUUCCACUAAAACCUAAAUCUUGUUUGGCAGGCACUCCAUGUUUCUUAAUUUUUAUUCCAUGCUGUAUAUUCUUUUAGACUUGAUUUUCACUUUUUUUUCUUUUUUCCUGUACAUUUAUCUUUGCUGUGAAACAAAGUGCCCUGCUUUGAAGGACAGGUUUGUGGGCUGCUGGUGGUGAGACAACAGCAGUCCUUCCAAGUCUUCCUCCCAUCACUCUGUUAGCUCUCCCUUUGUUUUUAAUUAGCAUUACACCAGUUAAUUCUGUUAUCUCUUAACCCUGGUUCUGCAUCCUCUUCUUCUUUUCUAUUCCUUACUCCGCUCCUGUUUUUUCUUGUUCUGCUUUUCCAAGAAAUGUCUUGUCUCCUCAUCAGUUGACUGUCUUCUCUUUCCAGAGGGACCAUAAAGGUGCCAGCCUAAGGAACACGUAAAACGUGGGAACAGACAAACAAGCUGCUGCCUAUUACAGAGAUAGAUAAUUAACUUUGGACCAUUACAUGCAAUUCAUCAGCUUAUCUUUUUCAAACUUUAUAUAAGAAGUCAUUUCCCAAUGGUAACCACUUGCCAGCUGCAACUUUGACGCAUAUUAUCAGGAUAGGUGAGAUUGAUGGGGGCCCUUUGAACUCUUCCCAGGGAAUUAUCUUUAUAAUGUUACAGUUUUCUCUAUAGCAUGGUCAUAUUGUUAACAUUGGUUAUAAGGUCAUAUGGUUAGUAUGGUUAGUAUUGGUGGCUCACAGCUGUAAUACCAGCACUUUGGGAGGCCAAGGUGGGAGGAUCACUUGAGCCCUGGUGUUCAAAACCAGCUCUGGAAACAUAGCAAGACCUUGUCUCUACAAAAAAAAAUUAAAUAAAUUAAAAGAUUAGCUGGGCAUGGUGGCACAUGCCUGUAGUCCUCACUACUUGGGAAACUAAGGUGGGAGGAUCCUUUGAGCUUGGGAGGUUGAGGCUGCAGUGAGCUGUGGUUGUGCCAUGGCACUCCAGCCUGGGUGACAGAGUGAGAGCCUGUCUCAAAAAAAAAAAAAAAAAAAAAAAAAAGUACCUGUAAGGUCUUUGGGAUUUUGAAGAUGAAAGGUGUUGCAUAAAUUGAAUGAAUUCACUUAGAGAGAUAGAAGGCAACUACAGGGAAUAUUACGUACAUCAUGGAGCGGAAAGCACUAAGGCCUGUGGAAUUAUUCUCAGUGACACGUCGUUGAGGGCAGUGGUCCACAUGUUUUGAACAUGGUUUCUCCCAGGUGAAAAGGAUGAGUAAUUUGUUCUCCUUCACAUGUGUGUAUGUAGGUCUUAUACACAGCAGAUUUGCCACAAAACAAAUGAAGAUUACACUUUGGGCCCCUCUCUCACAUGAGCCCCUUCCAAAGUUCUGUUUGCUAAUUUUACAUUUUGUAAUUUCUUAUUAUUUUUCUUAAAGAAGCCUCCUCCAAUUGCAUAAACUUCAAGCCUCACAAAAUUUGGAUCCAUACCUGAGCCAACAUACAAUACAAUUUUCCAUUUCUAACUUUUAGUUGUACCUAGUGUUUUAUUGGAAAUGAUCAAGUACAUGAGUGGUGUCUUUUUAAAAAAUUUACUUUAUUUGCUUCUCUAGCUUCAUCGUUAGUUAGGCAGUUAAAUCUAACCAUUUGGAGGUAUUUUCAUAUAACCUCCAUUGAGGACAAUUUGGCAAUAGCUUUUAAAAUUAUAAAUAUAUUUGUACAGUUAUAAGCUGCCAUAUCUAUAAAACUAUUUGAUAGACAAAAGUUGAAAACCCUCCAAGAGCUCAUCAAUAAAAGAUUAAAUUAAUUAUGAUACAUCCAUAUGAGCACUGAGCAGCUGUGAAAAAAAUGAGGAAGUAAUUCCUGUGCUGAUAUGGGAAGACUUCCAAGACAUGUUGUUAAGUACAGAAUGGUGUAUACAGUAUGCUAUAUAGUGUGGUAAAAGGUUUAGGGAUAAGCAUUUAUAUUUAUAACUGUUUAUAUUUACAUAAAGUAAUUCUGAAAGGAUACAAAAAAGCUAACAAAAGAGAUUACCUGUGGUAGUGUGGGGCUUGGGGAUUGGAUGGGUGAGAAACAGUAGUGGAAAUGAGAUAUUGUACAGUUUAAGGCAUUAUACACCUAUAAAAACAUGGGAAUGUAUUACCUACUCAAAAAGUGAAAUUAAGAGAGAUACAAGAAACUGUUUGGAUGUUCCUUCCCGUUUCAAUGUAUCUAUAUUUUUUCAGCCCUCAAAGUUAUUAUAAAUGUCAUUAUAAUAACUUCAUAAAGCUUCCCCUAUAAUGAGAAUCUUACCAUUCUCCUAACUCCAAUAGCACUGUAAUCCACCUCUGUUAGGACACAUCACUCUUCAUCAUGUGUGAUUAUUAUUUGCAGAUAUCAUCUUCAAGGCUCUUCUCUAUUUACCACCUGCCAUUCUUGUUCUCACCUCUACAUGACCUUCACAUUUUAUUUCUCUCGGUUUUUUGGACAAGCUACAUUCCCUUCCACAGAGAAGGCUUCCCUGACCCCUUUCACUUGGUUGGAUUACCUUGCUAUUCUUUUCUAUCUUUGUACAUUCCUUUUCAAAAUACUUAUCUCCCUUGUUGUUACCUAUAAUGUCUGUCUUCUUUACUCAAGAGUCUAGACAAAAAGCUCCACGCCAGCCUCGGCUGUGUUUGUAUUGUUUACGUCUGUGUUCCUAGUGCUUAAUAAAAUACCUAGCAAGGGUUAAUAAGUACUUGUUGACUGGAAGGGAAUGACUUCCUUCCCUUACUAGAGAGUGAUUUCCUUACAGGCGAGAUGUGUCAACCUUCUAUAGCCCACAUAAAAUAAAGGACAAUAUCUCCUAUUGGAUAAAAGACAA